rfam:Picea glauca, whole genome shotgun sequence.
GUGUCUAUAGUCAAAUGGUUAGGAUAAUUUUCUUAUGAGCAAUAGACCUCGGUUUGACUCCCAAUAGAUGCA